GGGGCUGUAUUGGUAUCGACAUUUAAAAUUUAAGAAAGUACGAAUCAGGUCGAAGUUUGUAUUCUUCGUAAAAACAUACAAAAUUUAAAAUAAACGCUAACAAUAUAAUUCGUUUUAACUUUAAUACAGUAGGAAAUUUCGCAAGCAAACAAAAUUAUUCAAACUUAUUGUUUACUAUUUAAAAAAUUCUAUUAAAAAUUUUUCCGCUAUAAUUAGACAUUUUUGUCUAACUUAGUUUAGAAUAACUUAUAAAGUGUUCACUUUUUUCUUAUUUGAACUACGCCUGUGAAAAAAGUAUUUUAAUAACAUUUAGAUGGACGUGGGUUCAAUUCCCAUCAGCUCCA
rnacentral:tmRNA from 1 species